rnacentral:rRNA from 1 species
UGGGGAAUUUUGGACAAUGGGCGAAAGCCUGAUCCAGCAAUGCCGCGUGUGUGAAGAAGGCCUUCGGGUUGUAAAGCACUUUUGUCCGGAAAGAAAUCCUUGGCUCUAAUACAGUCGGGGGAUGACGGUACCGGAAGAAUAAGCACCGGCUAACUACGUGCCAGCAGCCGCGGUAAUACGUAGGGUGCAAGCGUUAAUCGGAAUUACUGGGCGUAAAGCGUGCGCAGGCGGUUUGCUAAGACCGAUGUGAAAUCCCCGGGCUCGACCCGGGAACUGCAUUGGUGACUGGCAGGCUAGAGUAUGGGCAGAGGGGGGUAGAAUUCCACGUGUAGCAGUGAAAUGCGUAGAGAUGUGGAGGAAUACCGAUGGCGAAGGCAGCCCCCUGGGCCAAUACUGACGCUCAUGCACGAAAGCGUGGGGAGCAAAACAGGAUUAGAUACCCUGGUAGUCCACGCCCUAAAACGAUGUCAACUAGUUGUUGGGGAUUCAUUCCUUAGUAACGUAGCUAACGCGUGAAGUUGACCGCCUGGGGAGUACGGUCGCAAGAUUAAAACUCAAAGGAAUUGAC